UAGUGUGUUUGUUAAACACUAUAUAGCAUGCAUUAUAAAACCUUUAGGAAAAUUACCUGUACACCUUAUUGUAAUUAUUUUUGAUGUUUCUGAAAGAUUGAUCGAGAGCAGGACAGAAGAGUCCUCCCUGAGGAGUGGCCCCAGUGGAUCCCCAGAUUCCCACAGAAGAUUCAGACAGCGAGAGAGAGGAGCCUCCAACAACGAGUGGCGGCCCAAGGUACCUCCAGACAUUUCCAAAUCAAGAACCGAUAGAUCUUUAAGGACAGUCAUUGAAGUGUUCAGUUUUAAUGAUAUGUCACUGUUUGGAUUCUCUGUCUGAUAUGUGUAAAUGUGGCUCAAACUUGAAACUAAUCUUGCAGAGUCCGCCUAAUACCCAUUGUGAAUAUGAUGUUUGUUAUUAUGUGUUUGAUAGAUGUUUAUGGAUCGAAUUGAAGAAAAAUUGACACUGCUUAUUUAAACAGGCUGUUAAUGCUUGUCAUAUUUACAUUUGUUGGAAUUCAGCUAAUUGUAUUCAGGAUGUUAUUUUAUUUAUUUUCAUAUUUCUAUGCAUUAGCUCAGUAUUUUAUACUUUUUGUUAUUUAAAGAUAAAUCCGUAUUGUGAUCAGACUUGAUUAAAAAAACAUUGCACUUCUAA